UGGGGAAUAUUGGACAAUGGACCAAAAGUCUGAUCCAGCAAUUCUGUGUGCACGAUGACGUUUUUCGGAAUGUAAAGUGCUUUCAGUUGGGAAGAAAAAAAUGACGGUACCAACAGAAGAAGUGACGGCUAAAUACGUGCCAGCAGCCGCGGUAAUACGUAUGUCACAAGCGUUAUCCGGAUUUAUUGGGCGUAAAGCGCGUCUAGGUGGUUAUGUAAGUCUGAUGUGAAAAUGCAGGGCUCAACUCUGUAUUGCGUUGGAAACUGCAUGACUAGAGUACUGGAGAGGUAAGCGGAACUACAAGUGUAGAGGUGAAAUUCGUAGAUAUUUGUAGGAAUGCCGAUGGGGAAGCCAGCUUACUGGACAGAUACUGACGCUAAAGCGCGAAAGCGUGGGUAGCAAACAGGAUUAGAUACCCUGGUAGUCCACGCCGUANCGAUGAUUACUAGGUGUUGGGGGUCGAACCUCAGCGCCCAAGCUAACGCGAUAAGUAAUCCGCCUGGGGAGUACGUACGCAAGUAUG
rnacentral:rRNA from 1 species